rnacentral:rRNA from 1 species
CCUACGGGUGGCUGCAGUGGGGAAUUUUGGACAAUGGGCGCAAGCCUGAUCCAGCCAUGCCGCGUGAGUGAAGAAGGCCUUCGGGUUGUAAAGCUCUUUCGGCCGGGAAGAAAUCGCAUGGGUUAAUACCCUGUGCGGAUGACGGUACCGGCAUAAGAAGCACCGGCUAACUACGUGCCAGCAGCCGCGGUAAUACGUAGGGUGCGAGCGUUAAUCGGACUUGCUGGGCGGAUUUCGUGCGCAGGCGGUGAAAUCCCCGGGCUCAACCUGGGAACUGCGCUUAUGACUGGCAAGCUAGAGUACGGCAGAGGGGGGUGGAAUUCCACGUGUAGCAGUGAAAUGCGUAGAGAUGUGGAGGAACACCAAUGGCGAAGGCAGCCCCCUGGGUCGAUACUGACGCUCAUGCACGAAAGCGUGGGUAGCAAACAGGAUUAGAUACCCGAGUAGUC